rnacentral:rRNA from 1 species
UACGAGAGGCCCAAACGUUAUUCGGAAUUACUGGGCUUAAAGAGUUCGUAGGCGGCAUGAAAAGUAGGGUGUGAAAGCCCUCGGCUUAACCGAGGAAUUGCGCUCUAAACUGUCGUGCUUGAGGAACCUAGAGGUGAGCAGAACAGAUGGUGGAGCGGUGAAAUGCGUUGAUAUCAUCUGGAAUACCGGAGGCGAAGGCGCUCACUGGGAGUUUUCUGACGCUGAGGAACGAAAGCCAGGGUAGCGAACGGG